rnacentral:rRNA from 1 species
UACGGAGGGGGCUAGCGUUGUUCGGAAUUACUGGGCGUAAAGCGCACGUAGGCGGCUUUGUAAGUUAGAGGUGAAAGCCCGGGGCUCAACUCCGGAAUUGCCUUUAAGACUGCAUCGCUAGAAUUGUGGAGAGGUAAGUGGAAUUCCGAGUGUAGAGGUGAAAUUCGUAGAUAUCAGGAGGAACACCUGCGGUGUAGACGGCUUACUGGACCAUAACUGACGCUGAGGCACGAAAGCGUGGGUAGCAAACAGG